UGGCUCCUUAAGAGUCAUUUAACUGUGGCAUUUCUUGAUUGUAACCGGGCUGAUGCAGCUCCCGGGAUCCCGGGGAAGGAUGCAAGGCUGAAAAGAAAGAAUAUCCUCGCAUUCGUGAUCUUACACUCCAGUGACAGAUGACACACCUGCGUGAUGACAGAGUUCUUUCUGCAGAUGAGAGAGAACAAUGAGCAAAUGGAAGAAACACAGGAAGACGCAAACAGGUCUGCAGAUAACGAACAACGCGGAGGGAUGCCUCUGGCAGCCCUAGAAAGGAGAUGGUGCACACCUCCUCUCAACUCUGCACCCAGUGGCUUGCCGUGGGUAGCUUGAAUCCAGUGGUGAUGGGACUAUUUACAUCACGGAGAUCAACAAAUGUUACACACCCCAUUUUCCCUUAGUGUAUUACUGGCUGUAUAUUAAACUUAAGAGCAUGGCAUGUCUGUAGUCACUGUGAAUAGUGAAAACAUUAAGUUGAUCUCUGCAAUUCUUUGGAAAUUCCCCAACUCAGGAAAUGUGUUGUUUCCAUCACUAAUGAGUAAGGGACUUUUCAUCAGGUAACUCUGAAGCUGAGGAUUGCAGCUGGUGACUAUUAACUUGUGAAUCACAAAUUCACAGGUGAUGAAUAUAAUAAGCACAAGAAAAAAGCUUCCUGAUACAUUGUGCCUCAAACUUGAUAAUAUUUGGCGGGGAGGGGAUUAAUGAAUUGGAAUGAAAUCCCACUUGCCAAAUCAUGUUGAGUCACAACCAUAGAUCACAUCUUCAGCAAAAAACAAAGCAUUCAGUAAUAUCCAUGGGUUCUGUGUAACUUUUAAAAAGUCCUGGAUAGGGUUGGAGAGGUGGCUCUUCCAGGGGACCCAGAUUCAGUUCCCAGGGCCAUGUGGCAGCUCACAACUGUCUGGAACUUCAGAUCCAAGAGACCCAAUGCCCGCUUCUGUACCUGGAAAUCACAAAACUUAAAAAUGGUGCAAAGACAGACAGACAGACAGACAAAACACACAUACACAUAAAGUAAAAAAUAAAUCUUUUUUUAAGAAG
rnacentral:lncRNA from 1 species